rnacentral:rRNA from 1 species
AUGGAGGCGACGGCCAUCAGCAUUGGUAAGUCUGCAUUGAGCGGGGUACUCAAGUACGCCCAAUCGGCUGUGGCAGAGGAGGUCGCUCUGCAGCUUGGUGUCCAGCGUGACCACUCCUUCGUCACUGAAGAGCUCGAGAUGAUGCGGUCAUUCCUGAUGGCUGCGCACAACGAUCGAGACGACAAUAUGGUGGUCAGGACUUGGGUGAAGCAAGUCCGCGAUGUCUCCUACAUCGUCGAGGACUGCAUCCUGGAUUUUGCCGUUCAUCUUGAGAAACAGUCUUGGUGGCGCAUCCCUCGCACAAUGGUAGCUCGGCAUCGUGUGGCGAAGCAGAUGAAGGAGCUCAGAGCCAAGGUGGAGGAUGUCAGCCAGAGGAACCAACGGUACCACCUCAUCAAGGGCUCUAGCUCCAAGCCUGCCUCCGCUGUUGGGCAGCCUACCAUCUCCAGUGCGACGAUGUCUGCCUCCCAUGAUGCAAGGCUGAAGUGGCAGAAAGCAAGAAUGGAUCUUCUCAACUUGAUCAAUUACAAGGGUGAUGCACUUCGAGUGAUAGCGUUGUGGGGCACAAGUAGCAGUGAUCUGCAGGAGAUGUCCAUCAUUGAAAGUGCCUAUGAAGAUGCCAUCAUAUACAAGAAUUUCGAUUGCUGUGCUUUGAUCACAUUGACGUGUCCUUUCAGUCAGACAGAUUUCAUUCGAAGCAUGGUUCGGCAAAUCUAUAAUAAUUCUUUUCAAGAGAUGGGAGAAGAAGAAAAUACAACUAUUGGGGCCCAAAUUUUGAAGAUGAUGGCGCCGGUGACAGAAGAUGGUUUGGCUUAUGAGUUCAAGAGAUAUUUGAAUGACAAGAGUUAUCUAAUUGUACUCAAUAAAAUUAACACCAUUGAAGAUUGGGAUUGCAUCAAAACAUGUUUCCCAGAUAACAAGAAAGGAAGCCGAAUCAUAGUAUCCACCGAGCAAGUUGAAGUUGCAAGCUUGUGCAUAGGAGCAGGGGAUGAAGCUCUUGUACGUAGGAAGUUAUUUGCUGAUCAGUCUCUUUAUGCUUUCUACAGUAAGGUUUCUCAGGAGGGGAGGAAUUAA